rnacentral:rRNA from 1 species
UACGUAGGGAGCUAGCGUUGUCCGAAGUUACUGGGCGUAAAGCGCGCGUAGGCGGGCCUUUAAGUGAGAGGUGAAAUUCCAGGGCUCAACCCCGGAACUGCCUCUCAUACUGUAGGUCUUGAGUGAGGUAGAGAGAAGUGGAAUGGCUGGUGUAGCGGUGAAAUGCGUAGAUAUCAGUCGGAACACCGGUGGCGAAGGCGGCUUCUUGGGCCUUUACUGACGCUGAGGCGCGAAAGCCAGGGGAGCGAACGGG